AUCUGUACCCAGACCUCCAGGGAAUAUACCAGUUUUAGAACAUGGGGGAGCUGUAAAGAGCAAGGAGGAAAGACCGUAAGGGAUGGAUAAAAACAUUUUAAGUGAAGAAGGAGAGUUACUGGAAAAGGACCUUAAUCUGUGACCGGGAGGUAAAAUGGUUUUAGUUAGGCUGCUAGGGCAGCCUAGCGGUUAGUGUUGGGCCAGUAACCGAAAUGUCACUGGUUCAUGUACACAAGGUGAAAAAAAUCUAUCGAUGUCCACUUGAUCCUAAUCUGCACCAGAGGGCAUCAUACCACUAUGGUACGAUAAAAUAACACAUUUCACUGCACCUUUCCAGUGUAUGCAACAUCAACAAAAAGUGUGUGUUCUAUACCUGGGAACUCCAUCCUAAAUGUUUUAGUCAGGCUGCUACAGGUGUACUAUACCUGGGAACUCCAUCCUAAAUGUUUUAGUCAGGCUGCUACAGGUGUACUAUACCUGGGAACUCCAUCCUAAAUGUUUUAGUCAGGCUGCUACAGGUGUACUAUACCUGGGAACUCCAUCCUAAAUGUUUUAGUCAGGCUGCUACAGGUGUACUAUACCUGGGAACUCCAUCCUAAAUGUUUUAGUCAGGCUGCUACAGGUGUACUAUACCUGGGAACUCCAUCCUAAAUGUUUUAGUCAGGCUGCUACAGGUGUACUAUACCUGGGAACUCCAUCCUAAAUGUUUUAGUCAGGCUGCUACAGGUGUACUAUACCUGGGAACUCCAUCCUAAAUGUUUUA